GAACGAUUAACGGGUAUUUCAUGGUGGUCAAUUAGGGUGUUUGUCCCCUAAUAAUGAUCGAUUAUUACCGGCAAUUAAAGGACUAAUAAUCAAUCCUCCUCAGAGAGUGCAAUAAGUGAUAGUGUCCAAGACAUUGCCUGUGAUCCUGAAAGUCCCCACCCACCAACGAAGCGAUUCAAAAAGCGUGCUAGUGGGUUCGACAGUAGUUGGAAACACGAUUUUCCAUGGGUCAAAUAAGUUGAAGGAGGUAUGAUGUAGUCUUUGUGCGUUCGUCACAUGCGCAGACCAGCGAGUGCAGCAGUCGGUUCCGCUCCGUGGGUAGAUGUGCCUUGCACAUGGAUGGCAAGGGACUCACUUAAUCGCCAUCAGAGGACAGAGACUCACUCGCAGGUCAAAAUUCUUGAGGCACCCGUCUGGCGCCAAGAAAUAUGGUAGGACAGCUGGAAGAGAUGGGCUCUCUACAUUUAUUCGAUAAUUUGUAUUGUUUGAUCAAACAGGAAAUUCCUCACACC